CCCUCACGACGUCGAGACACGCGCGACUGUCUAGCAGACCUACUUUCGAGUGAGUAAUUUUUCGUCCCUUUCUGACGUGUUGUUGGCAAGGGGCAAUAACACUGCUUUAUAAGUGUAUUUUGAGCAUUUCCGUACCCAGUCAGAACUGAAAUUUGUCAGGUUUUUCCGCCCGUGGAAAAUUGUGUCACAGCAAAACAGCAAAUUUUGCAUCAGAGCGGCAAUCGGUGUGAAAUAUUGACGGAAAAACAAACACUGAUAUCAGGAUAUCGUCAACUCUGAGUGGAGCUGGGUUGGCAAUAUCACCGGUAUAAACGAUUGAGCAGUACAAACGGUCCGCUGUGACAGUGAAUACAUACGAAGGUGAAACAAUCGAACUUCAACGGUAGAUUUGUAGUGCCUCGCUCCCAGCGGAAAACAAUAUUCGAUUUCUUUGUCCCGAUGAGAAGGUACCACGGUUGAUUGAUGUCUACAAUAGAAUGGAAGAUAUCAAAGAAUCAUCACUGGAGCCAACCUCAUCCUCAGCAUCGGAUUCUGAGCGAUCGAUUCUAAAAACCAAUUUUCCUGGGCAAUCGCGUCCUAUCGCAGCUCGUGCCUCUCAGGCAUGGCGCACAAUGAGAGCCUCCUGCCGGUUGAACAAGUUGAUUUCCAACAUUCACUUCGGCGAUGACGACGACGAGGCCAUCGAAGAACUCGCUAUCCACCGGAAGCCCACGAUUCCCUCCAUACGACAGCGGAACACACAAAUCCAUGCGCUCGAAAAUUUGGACCACAACGUAGAGGAGAACAAGCUGUUUGAGUUCCGGUCCUCAUUGAAGCCAGCGGGCAAGAAAGGGGUGAAAUUUGGUGACGUAACUCAUGCGGGCGAUGGUCUGCGCAAGCGAGGUGCCCAGUUCGAGAAACGUAUCCCAGAGCUGAGCAGUAGCAACAGUGAGGAUGCGGAAAAAUUUGGAGAAUCGUUUAUGGUGCUGGAGUUCAGUGAGAGUGCUGACUCGGAGACAAUCCAGUGGAUUGUCGAUAAGAUACGCGGCAAGAAGAACGAUGGAGGUGCCGAGCUGUUGGUGCGCAAGGAGCCACUCACCAAGGAAACACACACUCUUGUGGUGCAUGUGACGGCCACUCAAAUGAAGUUCCUAGAAAUCGCCGAUGACAUGGGUUUUAUGAAGCGAACCAAAACUGGAAUCAUUAGAAAUUUCAACGUCGCCUGUUUGGACGAUUUCUUUUAUGAUGAAACGAUGACCGUAGAAGACAUCUUAACCCCGGCCGAUCGCCAAACUAUCAUCAAAUACGCUUUAGAUAACAUUCGCGCCUCGCAGCACGAACAUCACAUCCCGGGAACGAAGACCCAACUCUACCAUGGCCAGUCCAUAAUCCAAGCGGCCCAACGGAUGGAAAUCAUAUCGAAUUAUUAUUCCCUCCAUGACAAACCAAGGCUCCGGAAGCUGCGCCACGUGUGGAUCAAGCCCACUGAGCAUCAGCCAAUUGACGAGAUUCGAGAUUACUUUGGGGAAAACGUUGGGAUGUACUUCUCCUUCCUGGGCUUUUACACGUAUGCUCUGGUUGUCCCAACGAUUCUCGGUCUGCUGCAGAUGGCCCUCUCCGAGGAAACGGAAACGGUGCCGUUCUUCUGUGUGUUUUACGUUGUUUGGAUGAAAGUGUUCCUCGAACUGUGGAAACGGAAGAGUUCAGUUCAUGCGUAUCGCUGGGGAACAAUCACGAUGACCAAUCUGGACGAACCACGGGUCGGAUACUACGGCAAGCUAGGAAAGGACCCGAUUACAGGGAAGCUAACCCCGCAGUACCCAAAAUGGAAGACGUACGUGCAGAUGUACUUCGUUACGGCGCCAAUCAUCAUUCUGUGCAUGACGAUCGCCGGCUUUGUGACAAUCUUUCAGUUCUACGUUGAAAACUACUUGGCAGAGUUGUUCGGGCUGGAUUCCUACAUUCUGUAUGUGCCAUCGAUAGUGAAUGCGAUUUAUAUUGCCAUCUCGACAAUCGCGUACGACUGGCUAGCCACCUAUCUGACGGACAGGGAAAACCAUCGAACGCAGAGUCAGUACGAGCGCCAUCGGGUUAACAAGUUGAUUGUGCUCGAGUUUGUCAACAACUUUCUGUGUCUGUUCUACAUUGCGUUUAUUCUACAGGACAUGAAAAUGCUCAAAACCCAGCUCAUGAUGCAACUGAUCGUGCUCCAGUUCGUCCAAAAUGUGCUCGAAAAUAUGUAUCCGUACCUGAAAAAGAAGGUAGCGCUGAGCUAUUCCAAGCUAUUCAGCAAAUCGAACUACGAAAAGCUACAGCGAGACUACGAGGAGUACGACCAGAUGGGAAUCCAAUCGCUCGAGGAGGACGACUAUCGGAUACUGCGGCAGAGGAAGGAAUGCAUACUGGACGAGUACAACACGUACGACGACUAUCUGGAGUUGUACAUUCAGUUCGGUUAUGUGGUACUGUUUUCCUCGGUUGCUCCGAUGACUGCCUUCUGGGCAAUCCUGAACAACGUGAUCGAAAUCCGGCUGGACGCGUAUAAGUUGUGUUCGUUCUUCAGACGACCGUUUGCAAGAAGGACCAAAAAUAUCGGAGCGUGGCAGCUGGCGUUCGAAACGUUGGCAGUCAUCGCCGUUAUGACGAACUGUGGAAUCCUAUAUUUGUCGCCACAGAUGAGAGAGCUAGCCACCAAUGUUAGUGCCGAAGCGUAUGCCAUUACUUUUCUAGUCAUUGAACACAUCCUGCUUGGUCUGACGUGGUUCAUCUACAAGGCCAUCCCGGACACGCCACAAUGGGUGCGGGUAGCACUUGCCAAAGCUGAUUAUGAGUCGCGUCAAGCGCUGAAACGAGAGGACUGAGAUGCUUCGAUAGUGCCACUCACCCAAACAACAAUCAAUACGAUCCCAUAAUCCAUCAGAUCACGAGUGUGCCUUGACUGAUAAAUUUUUAACAACACGUUUCCUUUUGCGAGCGAACAUCCAUGAACUAAUUUGUAAUGCCCAACGGUCCCGGAAUCUGCUCUUUCGACGCUUCCGUAGUGUUUUCGAUUCGCAUUCGAUGUUAACGUAGUUUACGGAUUGUUGGACGUUUGUGUGCCACAAACUGAAUUGUUGCUCAGAGGAUUCUGUCGUGUUAUGAUGAAAUAGUAAGUCAUUUGUUGGAUGACAAUGAAUAAAGAACUGAUUUGAA